rnacentral:rRNA from 1 species
UACGUAGGCAGCAAGCGUUGUUCGGAAUUACUGGGCGUAAAGAGUGUGUAGGCGGUGCUCCAAGUCUGGUGUGAAAUCUCCCGGCUUAACCGGGAGGGUGCAUUAGAAACUGGAAUGCUAGAGGAUGGGAGAGGUAAGCGGAAUUCCUGGUGUAGCGGUGAAAUGCGUAGAUAUCAGGAGGAACACCUGUGGUGUAGACAGCUUACUGGACCAUUUCUGACGCUGAGACACGAAAGCGUGGGUAGCAAACAGG